CCUACGGGAGGCAGCAGUGAGGAAUAUUGGUCAAUGGUCGGGAGACUGAACCAGCCAAGCCGCGUGAGGGAUGAAGGUACAGAGUAUCGUAAACCUCUUUUGUCAGGGAACAAAGGCGGGGACGCGUCCCCGGAUGAGUGUACCUGAAGAAAAAGCAUCGGCUAACUCCGUGCCAGCAGCCGCGGUAAUACGGAGGAUGCGAGCGUUAUCCGGAUUUAUUGGGUUUAAAGGGUGCGAAGGCGGUCUGUUAAGUCAGCGGUCAAAGCCCGGGGCUCAACCCCGGCCCGCCGUUGAAACUGGCAGUCGCGAGUUGGAGAGAGGUAUGCGGAAUGCGCGGUGUAGCGGUGAAAUGCAUAGAUAUCGCGCAGAACUCCGAUUGCGAAGGCAGCAUGCCGGCUCCACACUGACGCUGAGGCACGAAAGCGUGGGUAUCGAACAGGAUUAGAUACCCGAGUAGUC
rnacentral:rRNA from 1 species